GAAGAAGAAGAAGAAGAGAUUGAAAGGGUAUUUCAUAUUUGAAGCUUUUGAACUAACCCUUGGUAGCUUCCUUGUGUUGUUGGGGUUUACAGCAGCUGAAAAGAGAGAGAAAAAAAUCAAAUAUCAUGCUCUUCACUAACCUCCUAUUUUUAGGAAUCACGCUUGCAGGUGUGGUUUUAGAGCAUUGGGUGUGGGCUCUGACCAGUCCUUCAGGUGGGCUCUUCUUCUCCUUCAUCUCUCUGUCUCUGUUUUCCUUGUUUCUUGCUUCCUCACCGGCCCUG
rnacentral:misc_RNA from 1 species